rnacentral:rRNA from 1 species
CCUACGGGAGGCAGCAGUAGGGAAUAUUGCUCAAUGGGGGAAACCCUGAAGCAGCAACGCCGCGUGGAGGAUGAAGGUUUUCGGAUUGUAAACUCCUUUUGUUAGAGAAGAUAAUGACGGUAUCUAACGAAUAAGCACCGGCUAACUCCGUGCCAGCAGCCGCGGUAAUACGGAGGGUGCAAGCGUUACUCGGAAUCACUGGGCGUAAAGAGCGCGUAGGCGGGAUGGCAAGUCAGAUGUGAAAUCCUAGGGCUUAACCAUAGAACUGCAUUUGAAAUUGUUAUUCUAGAGUGUGGGAGAGGUAGGUGGAAUUCGUGGUGUAGGGGUAAAAUCCAUAGAGAGAAAGAAGAAUACUCAUUGCGAAGGCGACCUGCUAGAACCUAACUGACGCUGAUGCGCGAAAGCGUGGGGAGCAAACAGGAUUAGAUACCCUUGUAGUC